rnacentral:rRNA from 1 species
GAUGAACGCUGGCGGCGUGCCUAACACAUGCAAGUCGAACGGAGUCCAGCCUUUAAGACCUUCGGGUCAAAGAGGGGAAGACUGAGUGGCGGACGGGUGAGUAACACGUGGGCAACCUGGCUCAUAGAGGGGGAUAACAGAGAGAAAUUUCUGCUAAUACCGCAUAAGCACACACUGCCGCAUGGCAGAGGGUGAAAAGAGAAUCGCUAUGAGAUGGACCCGCGUCUGAUUAGCCAGUUGGCAGGGUAAGAGCCUACCAAAGCGACGAUCAGUAGCCGAUCUGAGGGGAUGAACGGCCACAUUGGGACUGAGACACGGCCCAAACUCCUACGGGAGGCAGCAGUGGGGGAUAUUGCACAAUGGGGGGAACCCUGAUGCAGCGACGCCGCGUGAGUGAAGAAGUAUUUCGGUAUGUAAAGCUCUAUCAGCAGGGAAGAUAAUGACGGUACCUGAAUAAGAAGCCCCGGCUAACUACGUG